rnacentral:tRNA from 1 species
UGGCGGAUUGUGUAAUGGCAGCACAGCGGCCUUUGGAGCCGUUAGUGAAGGUUCGAAUCCUUCUCCGCCAACCA